UGGAUAGUAUUAUUUAUGAAAUUUAACGGAUUUGGCGGCAAGAUAGCCACUUAGAGGAACCUGCCCUGUAAACGAUGAGCCACGAUUAACCUUACUUUUACUAGAAUCCAGUUUGUAUACCGCUGUUGUCAGUUAGUUUCCCUAGAAAACUUUCGUACAUGAUAAAUUCAAGGACUUCAAGUAAAGGUGCAGCUUAUGUAAAAGAUAGAGGUGGGUUACAAUUAAAAGAAUAAUAUGGAUAAAGUAAAGAAAAAACUUUUGAAGGUGGAUUUAAUAGUAAAGUUUAAUAAGACUUGAUUAGAGCUCUAUCUUGUGUACACACCGCCCGUCGCUCGCGGGA
rnacentral:rRNA from 1 species